rnacentral:lncRNA from 13 species
AUGGAGCUAAAGGGCAGCAGCACGUUUGUCAUGAUCCAACAAAUGCUUCGGCUCCGCAGCCAGGAGCUGCCAAACGCCGAGGCAGAUGGAUCGCCGCCUUGUUAUUUAAGGUGGAUGACUUGCUGGAUUUUAACCCUGGGCUUUCUGGAGCCUCGGGCGAGCUGUGCCCGGGUCCGAUUCAGGUGUACCGGGGCACGGGAUGUGCUGCGGGCUGGGCUGGCUCCGUGCCGCCCGCGGGCAGGAGCGGGCAGGGAGCGUUCCCAGCCCUGCGUGGCCCCGGGGCCAGGCAGCUGCCGCCCAACGCGUCCCCUCGGCUCGGCAAUGAGAUCUUUGUUCGCCGCAGCAGCUGCUCGGGGCGGCCCGUGUCAAGUCUCCUCCAGAUGCUCCCGGAUAAUGACGCGCACGGCUCCCUGCAGUGCUGAUUCUCGCCUUCUGUCUUUCCUGCGGGGAGGUUUUCGUGGCCGCUGCGCACCGGAGGGAUGUUGGUUUGUGGGCUGUUGGACAGAGCACUCAGGUCCUUCCUUCUCCAGCCGUUCCUUCCCUCACUCCCAGCUGCUCAAAACCGUCUCCCUGCAUUCCCCCUGGGCUGUGCUCCUGCGGAAGAGCAGUGCCUGGGGUGCCACGAUGUCCUCUUUGGUGUCUCCCAGUGUUGUCCCAACGCCUCCCCCCUCCCUGUUUUGGCUGCAGGGCGCUGCCCUCCUCUCGGAGCAUCCCUCGGCUGCGAUGGAGCCGGGACAGCAGCACCCACCGCCCACGGCAGGGCUGAGAGCUCUGAAAUUCGGGGCUGCUCUAGGCAGAGAGGGCUCUCCCCUCUCUGGCUCGCAGGGGCACAGCCAGGCUCGAGGUUGGGCUUUGUCCCUGCUGCCGUUUCCAGCCAGCCCAGAGGCUGUUCCCAGCCCGGCGCUGGUAUUUCACUGCAAGGGACACGAUGUCCCUGCUCCCAGCCCACGCGGAUCCUCCUCCACAGCCCUCCAGGCACAGCAGGGAAACCUUCAUCUGAGCAGGUUUUGGACAGGAAAAGCUGGCUGUGCACGGGGGCUGAGGCCACCUACAGCUGCUGUGGGGCCGAGAGGGCUGGGAAGCCCCAGCCCCAGGAUUGCUGAAGGGGUUUGCAGGGGGUGUUUCCCUGGGAUGGAGAAGGCAGCUGGCAGAGCAUUAACAAACCGAGCAUGUCCUCUCCCUUCCUGCUAG